UAAGAUCUCAAUGCAGCUACAAUUAUAUUAUUAUAAAAAAAACAAAUCUAAAUAAUAGUAGAACACAUACUACUACCUAAUCAAUGCUAACAAUACAAGUUGGUAAUAAAAAGUAAAUGAAUUGUAAUUUCAAUAUCUCAAUACAGUAGCAACUAUCUUACUAAAACAAAACAAAUCUCUAUAAUAGUAGAAUACAUACUACUAACUAAUUAAUCCUAACAAUAUCAGUAGAUAAUAAAAAGCAAAUGAGUUGUAAUUUCAAGAUCUCAAUAUAACAGCAAUGCACAACUUAAUAUGCACAAACGUUAUCAAAACUUAAAUGACAAAAAUGAAGCAAUACGAAAUUGAAUGCGACAAACAAACUUAGAUUCUAACAUCAACACAAACUUAGAUUCUAACAUCAACACAGAAAGCACAAUCUAGAAUGUAAAAACCGAUCAUGAUGGAUCUAAAACUCGGAAUUGAAUCACAACAUAAUCAAAAACUAAGUCAAGCUAGCAAACAAACGUAAAUCUACAAACAUAACCAAAUCUAAAUGAUACACAACUCAAACAGGACGAAAUUCAAACAGAAAAAUACCGAACACUACCUGAGUGAAACCGUCAUCGAAAGCUGCUAGUUAUUGUUGUUGUAUUGAAAUCUCCUUCAUUGUCAAGCCUGAAUCUCUUCCUGAUAAAACAUGACUGAGUUGAUUCAAAUGAUACUUGAUGCCUUUAUGUUA
rnacentral:lncRNA from 1 species